CCUUGAUUAAAAUUAAUUCUAAAGUCUUUAUAUUGUGCCUCCAAAAUCCUGUUCGAAAGCAGUAUAUGCUUUCUGCAAAAACGCACUAUUUUUUAUGAAAAGUAAAUUUUAUGUUUAGUUUUGAAAUCAUUAUGUCAUGUUCCCAAUAAAUCACUAUUUCUCGUAAUUUUCGUACACGACAGUUUUAAAGAUAGCUUAUUUUGGUCCGAAAAAAAAACAUAACGUUUAAUUUUAAAUUCUUGACAAAAAUAAAAUCAUAAUAAUAUAGUACAAUGGGAGAAGAUGGGACCCUUAAGUUCCAAUUAAACAUGCGGGUCCGGAGUUGUACAGUACCUAUUGACAUAUCAGCAUGGCCAUGGUAACUCGUAAGCUGGCACUAGGUGAACUCUUUGUCGUCACCAUGCGGUGGUACCCCAUACUGUGGCAGAUAAACAUGCUACAGCUUGACGUUUAUUAUAAUAUUGGUACCAAUAGUAAAAGCGGUGUUUUAUCCUAACGUUAGGUUCGGGUCGACUCAUCGUUAACUACGAGAUCAUUUAAAUCAUCAAUGGCUUAUUUUCAAGAUAACCGAUCGUCUUAUGCCCAGAAACUAGAUGUCAGUGCUUCGUUUUCCUACGCAGAUGCAUUCAGCUUAUCCGCGAGGUUUUCUGGCUCCAACAGCGCCAAAACAAGAAUGGUGAUAGAAUUCGGGACAAAUACUGCCUCCAAAUUCUUCAAGAUAUCCAGCAGCGUACAAGUUGCACAAUUCAAGAUUGUUUGACGAAACGUUUCCUAUCGUAUGAGUUCCUUCAACGUAUCAAGGAACUUCCAAAAGAUUUCGACUACACAAAAUACUCUCAAGUGAUCUCUGAUUUCGGAACACAUUUCUACUCCACAGAGGCACGCUGGGUGAAAAGUAUGAGUUCGUGUAUAGGUACUCAAAAAAAGAUCUUCGCCAGUCAGGUCUCACUGACGACGAGCAACGAUCUUGCUUGGAACAGGAAGCGAAAACUCUGUUAGGUUAUGGUAAAAAGAACGGGAAAUGUUCAACUAUAACGCAUUGUCUCAGAAACACAAAGAUAAACUACUAACAAAAGCAAAAGCCCAGUAAAUGUGAAACUUGGACAACCCACAAGUGACCGCUGGGUUGGAACCACGAAUGUUAAAUGCCCUGCUACCCAAGGGCAAGACGCUUUGGUCGAUAAAGUGAACUGAGUUG